rnacentral:lncRNA from 1 species
UUUUUUUUUUUUUUUGUUUUUUGAAAGUCUAAUCUUAAUCACAUUUAGAAGUGCAAUGAAUAUAUCAAAGCAAGCAACAAAUAUAUACAUUAAACAUCUUAACUAUUUUGUAUGUUUUUAGGAGUUUUGUGUUUGGAUUGCAUUUUCCAUGAUUUUUCAUUAAAAAAUUACUGUAACGAUUUGAUGUAUGUGAGGUAAAAAGGUAAUAGAGAAAUGUGAUCACGGAAAACGACGUAAUUUUCCGACGGAAAAUCGCAAUCCAAACAAGGUAGAUUUCCAAUUCCUCGGACUAGCAUAAAACUUUUCUCCAUACUCCCCAUACAAUUGAUUCGAAGACUGUUUUCGAAGAUCAACACAAUUCACAAUACACAAGAAGUAUUUUUUUACUGGUUAGUCAAGUCAUUGGGUGUCUGAAAUUUGUGUUACAGAAUAUGUAGUUUUGGAUUCUUCCUGGUUCGUGAAAUUGAACAACUUUUUUACAGCAUUGAUUCAAACUCAAAUAUUUCUCCAGGUUUGUGCAGUCACUGGUGUUUGGCCAUCGAAAUCAACGAUUUGAUUUUCUUAGGUGGAUGCUUUUGGAGUUGUCAUCCUAAUGCCUUAACUCUAUCAUGUCCUGAUGCCAAAUUGAAUAAUGUUAAGUUGGCAAAGUUGGUCUCUGAGACGCUAACAAAUAGCAUAAAUCUAGAAAAUCCUGUUUCAAGAGAGAUAAGUGUUGGCGGCAUCAGCUAAAGGGAGUAAAGCAUGAGGCCAUCACAAAAACUCGAAGAGAAGGGCUGCAGGCUGAAGUUAUGAACUUUGAUAACUCUGGUGGAGAAAUCAAACACCUGCUACCCAUCUCCGCUUUGGCAGUUUGUUGAUUCGUUUCAAUUUAGAAUGGUGAGGAAGCGUCUUGCAAUCUGGCUUUAGAUCAGUGCUCUGAUAAAUGCAUAUGUGAUGCUAUGAUUUGUUACCGAUCUUAUUUAUUCUAUCUGGAAUAAUUUAUUCACAGCAAACACACUGAUACAAACUAGGGCUGCAUUUGAGUUGAGUUGAGCUCGAGUAGCACUAUCCAAGUCGACUUGAGGUAAAAUAACUGAGUUCGAACUCAAACUCGAACUCAUCGAGUUUUUAGAAGUCGAGUUCGAGUUCAAACUUGGCUUCAGUUUACCUUACUCGACUUCGUACUCAAGUUCGAGUUUAAUUAAAUCUAAUCGAGUCAAAUCAAGUUCAAUCAAAUCUAUUCAAGUGUAAUCAAGUUUAAACUCACGUAAUAAAAAUUAAUAUUUUACGUAUAAUUUUAAAUAAAAGAUAUUAUUGAUAUUUCACAAUAAUAAAUACAAUAUAUAUAUUAUAAAAAGCUCGAAUAGAUUUGUCAAACCUUCAAAUAUAAAAUAUUAGAAUUUAAGCUCAACUUGUGAGCUCAAGCGAGUACCUCGAACUCGAGCUCGAGCUCGGUCAAAACGAAUUCGAAUCGCCGAAUAGCUCGCGAGUUUCAGUUGAGUUUCUUGAUUUAGCAUCACCCUAAAUAUAAUGCCAGUUUUCCUUGUUGAUUAAUUGGAUUUUUGAACCCAUAAGAUGUUUGCUUAGUUGAAAUAUCACGACAUUUUUAAGCAAUAGACAAAAGUAUGAAAUCCCUAAAUUAAGAAGUUGGAUCGUCCUUAAUAAGUGCUACAUCCUAAUCCUAACCAUAUAUAAGAAGCACUUGCACUUUAAACUGUUCACCAACUUUCAUCCCAUCACUUGUGGUUUGAAAGCUCGUACCUUGUUUUCAUUCCCCUUUUUGUACUUCAAGCUCGUGUACGUUGCUUUCUCCUUACCCUUGCUAUAAAUACAGUACUGAUUGCUCCCACUUUCCAUUUGGUAUUGUUAUGCAUUUGUUUAUUUACUUUAUUACCCUUUGUAGAUGCUUUGUUGUGGCUGCAGCCUUAGAGUUGCAUGCUCUUUAUAGUCAUUUUGUAUGGAUUUGACUAAGGUUCAGCACUCACAACUUUAGUGGGUUGUGAAAUUACUCACGUGGACAAGCAUCUUGGUUGUUAUAUGGAUAAUGGUAUGAUAACAAUGUGCAUUAUAGUAAUUUCACACUAAAUUAAGCAGAAUUAAUUCUUGGAAGCCGUGUACUGCAACUUUCAUCUUCAAAAUGCACCGCUCUAUUUUAUAUGCUGCAAUGCAUUGCUUUCAGCUUUCAGCUUCAGCCUGUGUUUUGCUCCUCUGGUUUCUCAGUGCUUCGAUUGCUGGUAUCAUUCAAUUUGCACUUUAUUUCCAAUGUUUAUUUUCCCUUGGAUCGUUUGCUUUCAUGCAUCUCUUAGGUUUUGCUUUGUCUUUCAUGUUGCAUUAGUUUUCUGCUCUCACUUUUGUGCUUACGAACUAUAGCAUUUGCUUGCAUUUCUUAUGAAAUCUUCGUAUGAAUGAAGUUAACAGGUUUUUUGUCCAUACUAACAGUCAGUUGCAAACAAAAAUUGCUAUUUGUUUGAUCGAAGGAGUAUGUUUUACUUUUGGAGGCCUGUUUAGUAUAUACCAGUUGGAUUAUGCUCUUAUUUCUUCUGUUCCUGUACACCUGUAGUUUUUUCUUGUUGAGCUCGUUAAACAAGCUGAACUUGGGAGAAAUUGAAGCCAGAGGACUGCCACCAAUAUAUUCUGAUGCAGAGAGUUCAACAGCAGCAAAAGCAGCAGCAAUGCAUGCUAAAUCGACAAUAGCACCAACUGAAAACACUACAACUUCAUCUGGAGAUCAUGACAACAAACUUGAGGCAGAACUCCUCACUACACUGAAAAUAACAGAAAGCCCUACCAAGAAACAAAAGACCACUGCUGAAAAAGUGAAGGAAAAAGACGACAUGGCCGAACAGAAUUAAUAGCCACUAAUUCCUUCACCCUUUUGCCAGCCAGCACACUUUUGCAGAUUCAAUGAUCUAAACUCCAGCUCUUAAGCCAUAGUUUUUGCAAUGUAUAUUUUGCAGAUUCAAUGAUGUCCACUGAAGUUCUUUAACUGCCAACUUUUGACAUCCGCCAACAAUAGAUGUAAAAUACUUUUGCUAUCAUAACAAUGUCAUCCUAUUAACCAACACUCAAAUGUUGUUACCGCCCCAAAUUCACUCAUCUCAACUACACCUCUUCUAACAAAAUGAAUUUCCUCAUUCUUGUUAAAUGUUUCCUGAUUCUUAUUAAAUGUAAUCCAAAACUUUCCACCUCAAUUUCUUAAGAAAAUCAACCUUUACAUAUAUGCACAGCCACUACCACCGUCCGCGCAGUCAUUUAGUAUAGGAUUUUCCUUAUCAUUAAUUGGUUGAACUAUCAUUAAUUGGUUGAACGGUUGUGUUUGGAUUGCAUUUUUUUAGAUUUUUUGUAAAAAAAUUACUAUAAUGAUUUGAUAUAUGUGAGGUAAAAAGGUGAUAGGGAAAUAUGUUCACGAAAAAACGUAGCAAUUUUUCUUUGAAAAACUGCUGUCCAAACAGGGCAGCUUUAGCACCAACGUUGUGUCAUUUUCUACAUUUUGGUUUGCCUUCUAUUCUAUAAUUGUUUUAGUCAUAGUUAUUAAACCCAACCCGGGAAGGAACCCGGCGAAGGAGGUGGGUCAACGGGUUACUGGUUUAACCGGUGGGUGAGUGGUUGAACCGGUGGGUCACUACAUAUAUUUAAAUAUUAUAUUUCAUAAUUAUUUAUAUAAGAUAUAUGAUAUAAAUUGUAAUAAAUAAUGCCAUAACAAAAGCUCAUUUAAUUUAAUUUGUUAUAAAAUAAUUAAUUCAUAUAAGAAUCAAUCAAAUAUAAAGUUAUUUAUUAAUAUACCAAACUUCAAGUGUAAAAUUUUAUCUAUAUUUAGUGUAAUUAUCUAGCUUAUUUAUGAAUUUUAAGUGUAAAAAAUUAUUAAAAAUAAUAUUUGUCUUUAAAUGAAUUAUGUAAUAUGUUAUUUUUGGAAUCCAUUUUAUAACUUAUAGAGUUUGGAGGGUAAUAAAUUUUUAUUAAAAGGUUCCAAAUAAAUUUGUUUUAGAGAAAAAAAGAUAGAAUUGAAAAAACAUUUAUAUAUCAUAAUAAAGCUACUAUAUCAACAUAUAUGGAAGUAGUUUGGUGGUAAGCAGGCGGUAGUGUUGGGGCAGAGGUCCGAAGUUCGAGUUCCAACAAUAACAAUAUUAUUUUUCCACAAAAUUCGGUUAGUGACAAAACCGGCCAAAACCGGCCGGGUUUCCGGUUUAACCUGGUUCGAUCGCCGAGUCGUUGACUAAGUCAACGGUCUCUUUGCACAAACGAUCUGAUUCCAAACCUGGCCCGGUCCAAUGACCGGUCCACCGGUUCGACCGCCGGGUCGGGCCGGAUUUAAUAACUAUGGUUUUAGUCCAUGCUAGAUUCUUCUUCUUUAUAUUAGAUGGGCCCAUUUUUGGCAGAGGCAAGCAUAUAGAAUCCACCCAAUUUAGCCAAGACAAAAUGAAAUUUUAUUUCCUUGCCAUCAAUAAAUUUGGGCUCAUGUGUUUCAACACACUGUACAUUUUUUGGGCUAUCAAGUGGAUUGCACAAAGCAACAAGUCCAACAGUUCACGCCAUAACGACACUAACACAAAGGCCUUAGGAGAAAGCUAAAAGGAAAAACAUUUCAAAUAAGUCUUAGUACAAACUUUUAGUAAAUAUUUGCUUCAAAAAAAAAACUUUCCGUAAAUAUUCUUCCUCUACUACUUAUAUAAAAUUCCAAGCAAUGGAAUGGAGUUGGUUUAUCUAUUAUUUGUUUUCUUUCUUGUAAUUAUUCUUAGGAUGGUUUUUAGGUGUUAAUUAUCUAAAAAAGUAAAGUUAAAUCAAGAAAGUGCAUAAAUAUAAGAUAGGGCAAUAAAUAUGAGAGUUUUGUUAAAGGACCUAUCUAAUGAGUUCCCCACUAGACAAUCAUUCAUAUGUAGUGCAAGUCUUAAUGAUAUUUUGAACAUGAAGGGUUAAAUAGGGAAAGCUUAUAAAUACAACGUAGGUUAAUAAUUAUUAGUGUGUGCAAUCACAUAAUAAGUUAAAUAUGAAUUAGCUAAUUUAAUAAGUACACAUUGGUACCCGUUAAAAAAAAACUCUUUGUUAAAUAAUGAAUUUGAUGCAUAUGUAUUAACCAAUGCUCAUUAGUUACCUAUCGAUUUUUAUAACGGGUGCUCAUAGAGCACUCGUUAACAUAUCUAUAUUCCACGUAACAUAUCAUAUAUAUACAAACACUAACAAUUACUACUUUCUCUUACAUUUAUACAUUUUUUCUAAUUAAUCCCCUUGCAUUUAUACACUUUCCUUAAUUAAUUUUAUAUUUCUAAAAAACCAACACCCAAAAUAUAUUUUAACUGGUGCUUAUAGAGCACCUGUUAGACACAUAGUUAAAAAAAAAUGGUCUGUCAUAAUUUUACACCUUUGCACCCUUGAUAUAUAUGGUGAUGGCAGUUGACACGCUCAAAAAGGUUGUAUGUAAAUAGGGAAACAAAUCACCACCCAAAAUUUUCAAUGAGAAGACUAUAAACAAGCAUACAACAACCGAAGGAUACUGCCCCCCAUCAAAGUCAAAAAUAGUGCUUCAAAGGUAGUGAUUUCCAACAACGACAUCCCCGCAUUCAACGGAUAACUAAUACGUCAAUCAAUGCCAAAAUCUAGUACUAAAUAGUUCUUCCUUUUGGUUUUUUUCCUGGUACUCUAAAUAGAUUGUCCCCAAGAAAAGUUGCAAGUACUACAAAUUUCAGAUGACAAAAAUCAGUUGUAAUGCAAGUACAAUCUCAUGUGAGCAACAAUUUUUCUUGCACUUUCUGAUUUUCCCUUUCGGUGGUAUGAACCAAUGGAGUGUGUACUACAAGCUGAUAAUGUUACAUCAAAACUGUGCAAGAAUUUUCUAGUCAAAAAUUUUUUGUUUACUAAAAUGCACCCUAUGCAAGACUUCAAUUCUGUAAGUUAUUUUGCCAAAAUAACGGGUUUUUGUAACGGGCGGCACCCGUUAAUAUACCUACAUUCCACUCAAUCUAUCAUGCAUAUACACAUACUAACAAUUACUACUUUCUUCGGCAUUUAUAGAUUUUUUCUAAUUAAUUCCCUUACAUUUAUAUACUUUGCAUAAUUAAUCUUAUAUUUUUAAAAAUCUAGCACCUGAAAUAUAUCUUAAUGCCAUUAGACAGACCGAUUAAUAAUGUACUUUUUCACUAAUCACUACAUCAAAGUGGAUCCGGAGAAUUCUAUUAGACAAUAGCACUUUCUUGAUACUAGGCAGUGAACUAUUUUCAUUGUAAAAUUUUAGUCAGUCAGCUAAUUAAUAGUUUCAAUUAGCGUAAUAAACUUCUAAUUUUGAAAACUAAAGGUAAUUUCAUUUAUUUGCUCUAUUAAGUUUGUUCGUUUCAAUUAAUCAAAAAGCAUCACAACAAUUUUCGUAAAGGAGAAAACUAAAAAAAAAAUGAACAUUUUCUUUCUCUUUUUUGGGGGUUCCAAUACACUUCUCUAUCUCUUUUCAUAUUUUCUUAAACAUAUUACAUGUGGCUAAUGGGUUUCUUUUGCAUUUAUCUUUUAACUUAUUAUAUAUGGACGCAAAUUUUCCUUAACUUUUUUCGGAUCAAAAGGAUUUAAUGGUGAAAUUAGACAGAAUCAUCAGUAGUUUAUAGAUUUAAAAUUUGACUUUUUUUGUUCCUUAGUAGCCUCUUCAGUAAUUUACCCUUUUUAUAAGAUUUUAUCUCUGUGACACAUACUUUUCACAUACUAUAUACUUAGUAAAAAAUUCUGUACAAUUCUGCACCAAUUAUUGGAUCAGAUUAACACUCAUAACCUAAAUAUACUUAAUAAGGAUAGCAAGGCAAGUCUGUAAUCUUUGUACUUCAAUGCAAAAGCACAAGGAUCAAAUAGUACAUUUACUUGUUCUCAAAUUAAAUAACCACAAAAUUAAGUUGAAAGUUAGCAGAGUUCUAUAUUUAUUAUUGGUGUCAUCCUUAAUUUGCAAGAAAUUUUAUAAAAGCCUAUCAAAGUACUACUCCAAUCAUUUUCAACAAUUACUAGAUGGAAAGAUUUGUCGUUAGCCCUUAUCAUAAACACGACUUGAACAAGAACACUAAAGAAACAACCUACGUGACAUGUUCGAAAUUAUUGAGCAAGUACUGCUUAUUGGUUCUGGCCAGCUUGCAAGCUUAGACCUCUUAAAGCUAUUUUAUUUACUGAAAAAUCGAUAUGGUCUUUUUUUUUUUUUUUGUCAGCAACGAUACAUUUGUAUAACAUUCUCUAUCCUAAUCUAAGGGGAGGGGAGCCUAAGGAGGCUGUUGUAGGGGCUAGUGGAUAUACAAAUCCAACUAGACCAAGAAAAUGUUAUGACACAAUCCUUAGAUUUUUUUCGCUGCUGGUGAAGUUUGAACCCUCACCAACAGUCCAAGGAGGAAUUAAGUCCCUCCCUGGUGGCCACUGAGUCAUUGGCCCAGUGGUUGAAAAAUCGAUAUGGUCUUGAGGGUCGUUACUUUGAAAAUUGCGGUUUCACCCUCGAACUUUCGAACUUCCUACUAUGCCAAUUCAAAAAUAAAAGAUUUGCCCCACAAAGUUUUAGAGAAUUGCAACGGACUCAACUUAUCGUCCAAAAUAUCAGUUUCAAACUUUGCACUGAGAAAGAGAACAUGCUUAAUCAAAAUACUGGUCUAAAAAACAUAUAUUGAGAAAAUGGAAGAGAUUUUGCUAAUGAGAUGUUGCCCUAACUUCGGCGAACCUUAUUAAUUUUUUUCUAGCAUUCACCAUGUUUUGUGCAUCUUAAUUGUUCCUCCUUCAUCCAAUUUGUAAGUUCCUUUUGUUAUUUAUUAUCUUCUAAACUUAUAAAUGAUUUCUUGAGGAACAUACAAUUUAUCAUAUUCUAUGUACAUUAAUUGCUCCUCCUUCAUCCAAUUUGUAAGUUUUUUUUUUUAACUAUUUAUUAUCUUCUUCUAAACUUAUAAUGAUUUCUUGCGUAACAUACAAUUUAUCAUAUAAAUUGAAAUGGAGAAUCAUUAGAACUUGUUUCAUGAUAAAGGGCUAGUUCACCAAUGGUUGUUUUAGAGUCUUGUGGAUAGAGAAAAUAAUAGUGGGAGAGUUACCUUCAUAAAGAGGUUCGAUGAUACUUUAGUCGGGGUCCAAUACGGUCAUCCAACAAGAGGAAGUUUACACCCAAAAGAAAGGCGAUUUUUCCUCGUGAGACAGCUCACUAUUUUUUUGGACACAAUGGUUCCCAUACGGAGAACUUUUAAGAGGGAUUUGCUAUAGUAUGCAAAAGAUCACGAGCCAUGAAUUGUAUGGCGGAAAGAUAAAACUAGACAUAGUAGCUUGAAAGUCUUGAACUAUUAUUUGCACUUUGACAGAAGCUAAAAAGGAUUGCAUUACUGCCGACUCUGAUUUUCUAGAGUUGAAAACAGGUGAUAUGGAAAUUCGUAGUUGUAGAAUUGAUCACUCAAUACUUUUUGCUUUUAAUUUUUCUUUUCAUUUGACACAGUAUCAAAAUCUCUAGAAAAGCAAAUUUGGCACUGAACAAGUGACUUACACGACAAGUUCAAAUACACUCAUAAGUAUCCAUAAUCAUGAUUCUUUGAACAAAUUAAGAACUAUUUAGUAUGUCCAUGCAUAAACUAUUACAGUAGAGCAUAUAUAAAAAUCAUCCCAUUUUGGGAUAUAUUUUACACAUAUAUAUAUGUUUUGUGUUUCUUGAUCCAAAUAGGGGUGCUAGCAAGUCAAGCUGCUCGCGAGUGCGAGCAGCUUGAUCAAAAGCUUGACUCGAGCUCGGUAAAAUUGAGCUCGAGUUCGAGCUCGAGCUACUCGUUAAAUUUAACGAGUCUAGUUCGAGCUCAAGAAAUAAGUACUCGAGUGCUCGCCGAGCUUAAUCGAGCUUUCAUAUUUUAUUUAUAUUAUAUAUUUAUAUUAUAUUAUAUAUUAUAUAUUUUUUAAAAAAAUUAUAAAUUUAUUUUAAAACUCGAGCUCGAGCUCGAGUAGCUCGGGCUUGAUAUUUACUCAAGCUCAAACGAGUCGAGCUCGAGUUUAGUUUUAUUUCAUCGAGUCGAGCUCGAGUCCAAAUUUUUUCACUCGAUCGAGCUCGAGCUCGAGUAGCACAAAUUUUGAUCGAGCUCGAGCUCGAGUAUGGUGCUACUCGAGCUCGACUCGGCUCGAUAUCACCUCUAGAUCCAAAUCAAAAGGAAGAUUGUCUUAUCAAACUUUCCAUAAGUUUGCAUAUGUGCAUGUGACACUGGUACAGCAAUAAUGUCUAGAAGACUAUAAAAACAUGUUUUGUCACUUCCAAACAUUUUACUAGUCCAAUCCAAAAAUAAAAGAUUUACCCCGCAAAGUUUUAGAGAUUUACAAUGGAUUCAAUUGGCUCAACCAAAAUAUCAGUUUCAGACUAUGCACUGAGAAAGAGGAAAAGCUCAAUCAAAAUACUUAUAUUGAGAAAAUGGAAAAGAGUUGGCUAAUGACAUGUUGCCACCCUAACUCUAGUGAACCUUAGUAAUUUUUUUGAGCGUUUCACCAAACUCUGUGUACCUUAGUUGCUCCUCCUUCAUCCAAUUUGUAAGUUCUUUUUAUUAUUUUUUAUCUUCUAAACUUGUAAUAAUUUCUUGAGGAACAUAAAACUUAUCAAUAUAGAUUGAAAUGGAGAAUUAUUAGAACUUGUUUCAUGAUAAAGGCCUACUUUAUCAACGAUUGUUGGGUCAAGUGACAACGAGCUUGAAACUCAUUAAAUAAGAUUUCAAAAUUUUGUGGAUAGAGAAAAUAAACAUUGGGAGAGCCACCUCAGGAAGAUGUCCGACGGUACUCCUGCAGUAAUCGGGGCCAAUGCACAUCAUCGAACAUUGGGAGGUUUACACCAAAAUUUGUCAUUUUUCCUCGUAUGCCUGCUCACUGUUAUGGGCAAACGUUUCGCAUAUGGAGAACUUUUAAGAGGGAUUUGCCAUAGUAGGCGUAAGAUCACGAGCCAUGAAAUGUUUGGUGGAAAGGUAAUCUACAGUCAAGUGCAGCUAGAGAGUAGACAUAGUAGCUUGGUGCCUUGGACUGGAAUUUACACUUUAGCAGAAGCUAAAAACGCAUCUAGGGUCUCAAUUGCAUCACUGCCUACUCUGAUUUGCUAGAGUUGGAAACGCAGUAUACUGAAAUUACUAGUUGUAGAGUUGAUAACUUAUACUUUUUGCUUUUCAUUUGAUAUAAUAUCAAAAUCUCUAGAAAAGCAAAUGUGGCACUGAACAAGUGACUUACACGACAAGUCAAAAUACACUCAUUAGUAUCCAUAAUGAUGAUUCUUUGAACAAAUUAAGGCCUAUUUGGUAUGUCCCUGCAUAAACUAUACAGUAGAGCAUAUAUAAAAACCAUCCUAAUUUGGGAUAUCUCAAUUUUACAAAUAUAUGUUAUUGUAUUGGGAUGAUUUCGGAAACCUCCCUUGAGGUUUCUAACUAUUUCACUGGCCUCCUUUCAAACUUUAAAAAUUAUACUAACCUCCUUUGAAUUUUAUUAUCUUGUAACAUCUAGAUCCAACUAAUAAUUAAAAAGUGAUAUUACGAGAGAGAAGAUAAUAUAAAUUUACAUUGCUUCUCAUCUAUUAAAUUAAUGUAAUACCCGCCCAAACAUUAAUAAAAAAUACUAAAAUUUGCUGUUUACCAUCAAAGAUUAAAUCACGUAUGGUAUCAAAAAUAAUAUAUCAUUCUAUAUAUUUUACUUAAUUUAAGAUCUAAAUUUCUCUUUUUAGUUACAAACACAUUAUUAAACAUGAUCAACAACAAAUAAUUAAAAAAUUCUGUAACCAAAACAUUACAAAGCACGAACUUUAAUACAAUAAAAAUCUCAGCAACUAACCUUAAUAUAUUGACAAGAAUAUUUAUGAUGUUAAGUUUGUUCUUUAUAAUAUUUUGAUUGCAAAUUUUUUGAUUAUUUAUUACUGAUCAUGUUUGACAAUGGGUAUAUAAUUAAAAAAAGUAAUCUGGAUCUUGUAUUAAGUGAAAAAUAUAAAAUGAUAUACUAUUUUUUUGAUAAUAUAUAUGAUUUGAUCCUUAAUGAUAAAUAAUAAAUUUUAGUGCUUUUCCUUAAUGUGUUGGUUAGGAUUAAAUUAAUUAAAUAAUAUAGUAGAUGAGGGGUAAUAAUGGAAUCAUAUUAUCUUUUCUCUUCUGAUAUCACUUUUUAGUUAUCGAUUGAGUUUAAAUUUUACAAGAUAAUUAAUCUCAAGUAAGGUUAGUAUAAUUUUCAAAACCUGUAAGGAAGCCAGUGAAAUAGUCAAAAACCUCCUUUGAGAUUUUUGAAAUUAUCCCUAUCGCAUUUUGAGCUCCAAAUCAAAAGGAAGAGUGUCUUAUCAAACUUUCCCUAGGCUUACAACUUUUUUUUAUUUAAAUUUGUUUUGCUCCAUAUCUUCUCGCUAAAUCAGAAAGUUCUUUUGCUCGUUGAAUUAUUUUUAAUCCUUUCAAUCAUCAAAAUUCUCAGUUAAGAGGAUUGGCAAGGGUACUUUGAUUUGGUCACAACUCACAGGGUCGCCAAGAGCACCAAGUUUAAUGAUGACCAACUACUUGAACUAAAUAUAAAAGCUUUUUUCUAUCACAUGGACUGAUUGUUGGACCCCAAUUCUGAACAUCCAUUAGUACAAUUUAUUCAAUUUGCAGGACUCAACUCAGUUACUUUAGUACUCUUCUUCUUUUGUAUGUCGGACUCCAUUUUACCCCCGGAAAAAAUUCAGGAGACUUUUCAAGCAAAAAUGUACUUUAGACUAUUUUCCCUGCUGGAUUACAUAUUCUCAUUGCAAUUAUUUGAUGUGGGAUAGGAUGAGAGAUGACGCAAGAUCAUUUAGAAAUUCAUUGGCCCCAAAAGAUUUUCUGUAAUUCUUUAGUCGAUUAUAAUGAAAUAAAAUAAAUGUAUACGUCCGCAUUUACACUCAUACUCACCUAAACCAAGCUUACCAUCUAUAGACCAAGAAAUAUGAAUGAAGUUGUAACAAAGGAUGAAGCUUCCCAAGUACAUGAACAAUUUUACUCUUUAAGUAAAAAUAUAUGCUGUGAAUCAAGUAUAGAUGAAGGUCUAGUUUAGCAUUCUUCACUCUAAAAGUGUAUGUUACUCUCUUAUAGUUUGUAUAAAUAUCCAUUUGACCGCUUGUGAUAUUUUGUAUUUAUCUAUAUAAUCCCUCUAUACUUUUAUACAAGAUAGUUAAGCCGUAGAUUGAUUUAGCAUUUAAGUAAGCGCACUAUUGAUAUUUUAAUUAAUGACGUUAUAUAGGUUAUUUUUAGCCAAGUUUCCACUUUACAUAAAAUUAUAGGGAGUGAAAUGAAUAUUUUAAAACAUUAGGAGAUCAUGUGGCAAUAAAAAAAUCAUAGGGGGUUAUAUGUAAUUUAACCAUAAUUUUAUUGUGUAGCAUUCGUUGCACUUUUUUUUUUAUGCAGUAGAUCUAGUCUGCCUAGCUUCAACUUUUUUUUUUCUUAUGGACAAAAAAAUUUCCUUUUUUGAGCAAAGUAGAAUUCACAAAAUUAUGCAACGAUAUAGUUUUUUUUUUUCCUUUUUUGUUGUGGGCUUGGUAUACAUGGUCAAAUCUCAAGUCUCUCCAAUUUUUCUCAAGCAAAAUGUAAGCAUUCUCCAAUUUUUCUUAUUAUUUUCGGCAGUUUCCCAUUCAUGCACUGCAUAAGAGUCUAUUUCUAUUGGAAAUGAUGGCAAGGCUGGUCUCUCCAACGUUUAAUUAAAGAAAUAAUUAUGAUUAUUUAGAAAACUUCCAAAAUCAGAAAAGUUAUUAAUCAAUCUUCAGUACUUAAAUAUCAUUCGAGGUAAGCUAAAUGGUCAAGAUUUCACCCCACAUCUUAGUGGUACUUUAAAGUCUUUCACAUAUGAUUAAUCUUGGCUCGUUGUUACUUUUUCCAUUUAGUAGCUAAACCUCUUUUCUUGUUUCUGUCUGGAUAUUAGAUGACAAUCAACCCAAAUCAUCAUGUGUGAUAUGACACAAACGAGUAAUUGCACGUUAGGUAAAUUGGAUAAGAUGCAAAGAGAAAAAGGGUAGAGUUAGAGAAACAAGAAAAUUUUGAAUUCAAGUUGCAGUGCCAUUUUAAUUGCUUAGUGGCCUAAUUAAUUAUGUGUCAAUUUGUUUACGUGCUUAAAAUUAAUUUUGGUUACAAAAGAAUCAUAUAUAUAUCUAUGAACAAGCCAGUUGAAGCAUUCAUAGAUUGAGGUGGAACCAUUCAAAUGAAUUUCAAAUAUUACCUCAAUGUAGAGGUGAAAAUAAAUGUAAAUAUAUGCAUUUAAAUUAUAAGUUUCGUGUAAAUUAGAUGUACUAAUAAGCGCGCAAUGAUCUUCACGAUGACUGAAAAGGAAAUUUAACCUAUUUUCUCUAGAACUCAUUCUGUAAUCUUUCUGUAAACAACUUUGGUGCAGCCACCAUUGUGGACAUUUAUCUCUGCUAAAUGCACUAAAACAAGAGAAUGGUGGAUGAUUAUUGGAGUUGGAAUAUGUGGACCAGCACAAACUGCAGCAAAAUUCUAAAAGUUGGAAAGGGAAUUUUGAUUAUUUGAACCUAGUGCGCUCCAACGUUCGAAACCUAAUGAGAAACCUCGUGAUCCAUCAAACGGUAACAAAUUUUACAUGUGAUUCCACUAAAUUUAACCUGCUCAAAAUGUUACUGCUUGUAUUUUUUUUUUCUUUUUUUUACCAGAAAGUUGCAAUUUUUCUGGUUUCCUAUAAAUGAGGGAGACAAGGCUGGGUUCUUGAAAGCAAAGGUCCAGGUCAUUGUUUCCUUAGCCAGCCUUAGAUUUUCCUCUACCGUCUUUUCUCAUCAUUAUACCUUCUUGUUUACGUGAAAGAAUGAAGCCAUAGUCUCCUUUUUGCAACUUCUGCUAUUAGUAUAUGUUAGUGACCCAAUAAAAAAUACACUUCACUUUUGUUCCUCCCACUGAGAUUUCCCUUUGUCAGAUCCCAAAAACUUCAAACAUUCUUAUUCCAUUUUCAGCAAUAUUUGCUGUCAGAUCAGAAAACCGUGUCCCAAAAUGCAGAUUCUAAUGUGGGUUCUCAAGCUUUUCCUCAUUGUGAGCUUGCAACCACCAAUCCUAGCACAAGCCCAGAAGGAUGUUCAGGCAACAGCAGCAGCAGAAGCAGCUGCACCAGCUUGUUUUGAGGGUGAUAGAGUUGCUCUUCUUGGGUUCAAGGCUAGAAUAUUUAGGGACACUACCGACAUUCUAUCUUCAUGGACAGGCAAAGAUUGCUGUGGAGGGGGUUGGGAAGGGGUUGAAUGUGACCCUGCAACAGGAAGAGUUAUUAGGUUGAUCCUGCAGAGACCAGUUGAUCAAGGCUUGAGCAAUUUCAUGAAGGGCAUUUUGUCUCCUACUCUUGGUAAUUUGCACUUCUUGGAGGUAAUGGUAAUAAGUGGGAUGAAACGCAUUGCAGGGCCAAUUCCUCAAAGUUUCUCAAAUCUCACUAGGCUGACUCAGCUUAUACUCGAAGACAAUUUUCUGCAAGGAGACAUCCCUUCCAAUUUGGGGCAUCUGCCCUUAUUGCAGACACUAUCGCUGAGUGGGAAUAGAUUGACAGGGCAGAUUCCUCCAGCAUUAGGGAAUUUAAGAAACCUUCAGCAGCUAAGUUUAGCAAGAAAUUCCCUGACAGGUCCUUUUCCAAUCUCCUUCAAGAAUCUCAUCAGCUUGCAGUCAAUUGAUCUCAGUUAUAAUCUUUUAUCAGGAAACAUACCAGAUUUUAUGGGGCAGUUUAGAAAUCUGACAUACCUUGUUCUUACAAGUAAUCAACUAUCAGGCCAGAUACCAAUUUCUUUGUGCAGCUUGAUUAAACUCUCAGAGUUGUCACUCGGCCACAAUAGGCUUGUAGGAAAAAUCCCACCCCAGAUUGGAAAUCUCAAGUCUCUUGCAAUUCUGUCAUUAGUUUCCAACCAGUUAAUAGGUCAAAUUCCAGAAUCAAUUGCUCAGAUGCAGAACCUGUGGAACCUAAAUCUAUCAAGAAAUUUGUUUUCAGAUCCAUUGCCUAACACCUUACCUAGUGGUCUUCCAUCUCUGUUAUCACUGGACCUUUCUUAUAAUAAUUUUGAUUUGGGGACAGUUCCUCAAUGGAUAAGAACCCGGGAACUUUCCAGCAUUUAUUUAGCUGGCUGCAAGCUUCGAGGGACUCUCCCAAAUUUCACAACCCCUGAUUCAUUAAGCUCUUUAGACCUGUCAGAUAACUAUUUCACUGAAGGUAUUUCAAAUUUUUUCACAAGGAUGACAACCUUGGAACAGGCUAAGCUUUCAAACAACCAACUGAAGUCUGAUGUAUCUGCAAUCAAAUUGCCAGAUGGACUUUCAUCAAUUGACCUCCAUUCAAACCAACUCUACGGUUCUCUAUCAAGUAUUCUAAGCAACAAGACAAGCAAGUUUCUGGAGGCUGUUGAUAUUUCAAACAAUCAAAUUUCGGGUACCAUUCCUGAAUUCAGCAAUAGCUUGAACCUGAAAGUGCUCAACAUGGCAAGCAACAAACUUACAGGUUACAUUCCCAAUUCGAUCUCAAACCUUGCUAAGCUUGAAAGAUUAGACAUUUCAAGGAACCAAAUAGGAGGCACAAUCCCAACCAGUUUAGGAUUGUUGCUCAAGUUGCAGUGGUUGGAUUUGUCCAUCAACACCCUUUCCGGGAAAAUCCCUGACAGCUUGCUACAGAUUCAAGCUCUGAGACACGCAAGCUUCAGGGCCAACAGAUUAUGUGGUGAGAUCCCGCAAGGAAGACCAUUUAACAUCUUUCCUCCAGUAACUUAUGCCCAUAAUCUGUGUUUAUGUGGCAGGCCCUUGCCACCUUGUAAGGGAAAGAAGUGAUAGGAAAGGAUGGGCCAGUACAAUGCUGACUCGAUCAAUGAGGAUGAUACAAUUGCUCAAGCCAUGUUAGCCUUGCAUCAACAAUCAAUUUCAGUUGUUUCUUAAAUACCAGUCAAGAUACACAUUCUUCUGUAUCUCACGAUAGAAUCUUUACUCAAAGAACUGAGUACUUGCUCCUAUUAAUUCAAAUCAAGAAAGUUCUUCUCUUAUUUUAUCUGAUGCUGAGCUUUCUAUGAAUUUUUUAGCACACGAUCUUGUCUAACCACAAUAAUAAACCUUAAAACAGGGCAACCAACUUUGAGCAACAACAAAAAGUGUAAUUAGUAGUUCAGUAUUUUCAAAUCAUGUAUCUCCUUCGAGCAUCAAUUUAAACAUGUUAAAACCACAAACUCCAUAUAAUUAGCAUAGUAAUUUGCCAUUUCUGGAUUCCAAUAGUAGCAUAAGCAGAAUCCAAAUGGUGCAUAGAGCCUAACAAUUUGAAGCCAAAAAGACAGAAACUACCCUGCCAUUCAGAACUAUUUAAUACCUAACCUGAACCCAGUUGACUAACAGGGACAAAAAUUUACAAGACAGAACUAUUGUAAGAGAAACUACAAAAGGGCAUAGCAGAGUUUGCAAGGCGGAACACUAUUCAUCAUCAUCAACUACAAUCUCCUCAACUUCCUUCUCAGCUGAAUUUUCUUCACCCUGAAAAAGCAAACCAAAUUAAGAAUUGACACUAUUAUAACAAUGCAAGAGUAAUAAGAGAGAAGCAUCUAAAGAAUAAGCACUUUUCCUAACAAGCUUUGGAAAUCAAACCACUUACAUCUUCAUUUUCAGCACCAUCACCAUUAGAUUCCAAGGCCCUCUCAUAUUCAGCUUUCAGCUCCGCAGCUCUGUCCAAAUAAGGUUGUUUCUCCUGAUCAAUGCAUUUGAAAUAUCAUUACCAUCAGUAACUGAUCAAACAGUUUCUUAUGGAAUGCAAUAAGCUCCAGCAUACAGAAUUGACACUCACUUCUUCAGUCAUUGACUUCCAUUUCUCCCCACCCUCUUUGGCCACCUAAAUCAUUGGAUAGUUAAAAAUCCAUGUCAAACAUAACCAAGUAAAUCAAACAUGGUUCAAUUUUCAAACAAUGAAAAUAAACAAAUAAGAAUGACUAUACCACUGAGACACUCUUGCAAUCAGGAUUUGCCUCCUUGAAAGAUUUCCUGAAGUCAUCCCUGUGUAAUUCAAGUCAAACAUAAUCAGCCACCUACUCUACAAAUACUCCUAAUGCAUAGUACACAUAAGCAAAGGAUUACAUGAAAAUGAAGAAAGCAGUAGGAGGGCGUUUUAGUGCAUUUGGAUUCUUGGCUUUCUUUCCCUUCUUUGCCUUUGGUUCAGCAGCUUUGGCCUUCCUUCUGUACAUCAUCGUCACCAUUGUAAAAUCAAAAGCAAACCAAAAUGAAUCAAAGCAACAAUCAGUAAAUGAUAGGUAGCAAGUAAAAACAAAAGGAAUUCUAUAAAAAUUACUUUUCAGCUGGUUUUUUCUUCAAUUCAGCAGCCUUCUCCACAACCUGAGCCUCUGUUUAGCAUCAAAUUAACUCAUCAGAAGUGCCCCUCAGAUAGCAAGUUAACUAAACAAUAAACCUCCAGCAGCUAAACUAAAAACUAAAAUCAAUUAACGGUGAAGAAUAACAGGUUAAUAGACUUCAGAACCCAAAAAAAGUAUAAAAAAGGGUCCGACUGAUUAACCAAUUACACUCAAAAGGAACCUAGGUUCAUCUUAACAUAGAUCAAAUCAAACCCCAUUUUACAUCCUUAUCAUAGUAACAUAGCAACCAAUUAAAAGCGGGAAAUAGCAGUCACAUGCAAAUUGGCACAACCAUUUCAACAUAAAUUAACAUAUUAAACACCCAAAAGCACCCUGCCUCGCUGUUUAAGGGGAAAAAAAAAAACUGCCUCGUCUUAACACGAAAUUAACAGUAAGAACCCCUUAACACCAUAUACAAAUUGAUGCAUGCAUGGCCCAAUUCAACCGAAAAAAAGUACAAGCACCAGCCUCAUAUUAACCAGAAAAUAAUCCAUUCUCCAUCCUCAUUACAGCAUUAUAUCUAAUCAAAAGCAAGAAAUACCUAGAUUCAUCUUGAUUUUAGCUUCAGUGCUACAGUCAUGCAUGCUAAUCAGCGCUACGGCAACAUCCUUGUUGCAUUCCCCACUGCCAAAAAGAAAAAAGAAAAAAAAUCCAACUUAAGUGCACCAUUUUUCCAUAUAUAAAGAACCCACAAAGAAAACACAAAAAGAUUAGUAGACAUCAUAUUAGUUCAAAAAAAUCUCAUACCAUUUCGUAAAAGCGCUGCCAUCUUUAGCCCGGAGGAGGGUAGAAGAAGAUGCUGUAGUGUUGCUCUUGCCACCAGCAGCAGGAGACGUAGAAGAAGAAGAAGAAUUCUUCUCCACCUCCACCCUUUUCCUUAGUCUUCCACCUGCCAUUUGGACCGCAAUUAGAGAGUUUCUGAUGGAAUUGGAGAUGCAAACAGGAAAAUGGAGAUGGGUUCUUUGUUUUUUUUGUGGGUUUUGGGGGAAAUCGCGGUUGGGUAUAAUAAGACGGGGGAAAAAAGAGAGGAGGGAAAGAGCAAAGACGAAAAUUGGAAUUGAAAUGAAAUUUUGGGGCCGCCAUUUUUUUUUGGUGGCUUUUUCACAUUUUCGUGAAAAAAACCGCCAAUUGAAUUGUUAAUAUACUGCACUUAACUGAUGCGGAUGAAUGACUUGUCGCGCUUCUUGACCGUUGGAUCUAUUGCGUUCUCAAAUGGACGGUUGAGGAUUCAACAAGAGCUUAUGUUCCAGAGAAGGUGGGAUUUUUUUUAAAAAAAAUUUGAAUUUAGGAUCUAAGUUGAACUAACAUAUAUGCUAUAAUAAUUUGAUUUACAUGAGAUAAAAUGACAUUUGAAAAAUGUGAAAACAAAAGACGUAAAAAUUUUUCUACACAAAACUGUAAUCCAACCAAAUUUGCUAAGAGAUUAUUUGUUAUCUUUCAUAAAAUUAAUUAUCAAUCUCACUUUCAAAAUGUUCAUUAAAAUUUAAAAGGUAACAGAUAGCAUAUCCUGUAUAACCAAGGAGAUUCUUUAAGGCAUGAUGAGCAUAUAUUGAUAUUCACAAUUCGAAUAGUAAUAUUCAAUCCAAUUUUUUGUUGAAUAUCCAUAUUCUAAGGCGAAAUUUUUUGCCGAAUAUUCAUCGUGCCAAGUAAGCACGACAAGCAGGAAAAUUUUUUUUUUUUUUAAAAAAGACCUGCAUGGCACGGUGGCCCAGAAAUUGAGGGAACAGCUCCAUGAAUAAAUUUGAUGUGGCCACUUCCUUGGAAACUAAAAUGGAUGGCAUCGGAGUGUUUGGAUUGUAAUUUUUAAAAAUUUUUGUAAAAAAUGUACUGUAACAAAUUGAUAUAUGUGAAUUAAAAGGGUGAUUGAGAAAUGUUUUCACGAAAAAUAUAGAAAAUUUUUCGUGAAAAAUGGCUUUCCAUUUUUUCAAAUAAUAUUUUAUUUAUAUUAUAAACACAUUUUCAACCCACUUUUCUAUAUUUCUAGUUACUUUUUUUAUCUCACAUAAUUACGUCACAAAAAAAUACUACAGUAAUUAUUCUAAUUAAUAACUCAAAUAAUACUCUAUCCAAACACAUAGGAGAAAAGCGGAUGCUUCCUACUAUAGUAUUGUAUUGUAUAUUUUGUUUGGAUUUUGGGGAACUAAUUCAACUUGGUUGUAUUAAUUAAAAAACAAAAGCUUACAGAGGAGAAACUAGUGUGCGUUUAAGUUGACCUCUUGAUUACUUUGUCUGAUAGAUUACUUCAAAUUUAUGUAGGAUAAGGCUUUUCCUUUUAGUUCAACAUAAAAUGUUACACAACAAAUUUUGCAAAUUAAUUUCAAGCACUAGAGAAUAUCUACAUAUGUUUUAUAUUUUUCUCUUCCUUUUUUGUGCAAACCUUCUAGUGUUCGGUGACCACAUUGGUUCUUGACUAAUCUGGAAUGGAGUACUAUCAAACUAUUUCCUGAGGAUGGCUUGCCUAACAUUGUCAAACUUUUUCGAGGAUGGAAUCGUGUUUGAAUAGUAGAUUAUUCGGGAUAAUUUUUUGAAAAAAAAAUGUUAUAGCACUUUUUAUGAUGUGAUAUAUAUGAGAUGAAAAGGUUCUUGAAAAAAUAAAAAGAUAUGUUGAAAAAUGUAUUUGUGAUGCGAGUAAAUAAUUUUUGUGCACUGUGUUUGGAUAGUAGAUUAUUUGGGAUAAUUUUCUGAAGAAAAAUAAUACUAGUAUGUAACACUUUUUAAUGUAAUAUAUUAGAAAUAAAAAGGUGAUUAAAAAUAUGUUAAUAAUGCAAAUAAAUAAAUUUUGACAAAUAAAGUACUAUCUGAGCUUUCAUAGGUUAAUGGUUUUACUAGUUAUAUACGACGAACAUAAGAAGAUUGAUGAAAUUGCAAAAAAUAGCAUAAAGAAUUAAGGGGUCUGACAACCAAAAAAACUCGAGUUCGAGUCUGAGUGGAAAUGUUAAACUGACAAUAUGAUCUCUCUUUUUUUUUUAAGGAAAGUCUGAAUAUUAAAAUGCAAAUCAAGAAAUUUGAUCUAUUGAUCUACACCUAAAUGGAGUUUAAAAGUUCUCUUAGUGAGACCAACUCCUGUAGGAGCAGUUGGUUGUUACAAUUUGAUGUCAGGCAUAGUUUCUUUUUGCCUACAGAAAAAUCAUUAUCGUUUCGCCAUUGACCCCAUGCCUUGAACAAACUGAAUACAUGGAUCUCUACAGAGAAUAACAAACUUUAUGAGAUUGGUCAGAUGAAUGCACCAUGAUUUUGCAGAAGCAAGCAGCCCGACACACGAACAAAGUAGUAGCACAGUUAGGUAAGCACAGGAAACCAAUUUCACUAAUAAGUCGGAAUAUAUCAGAGCAUCUGCAUUCAAACUGAUUUUAAGUACCAAAAUCCACGGCCAGUUAGAGCACUGCAACACGUUAAUUAUACAAGCAAUUUUAGAUGUCCUACCGGUGCUUCCUACCACCAUUUCUCUUCCCACGAGUCUUCUUACCUCCCUUUUUCUUCUUCUUUUUCUUAUCA